AUGGAUCCUAGCGCUCCAGCGAUGGGAUGGUCUGAUGAGAAGACCGCCAUGGUUCUGCCUCCCCCUCCCUACCAGGACCUCCAGGCUGGAGCCCCGCAACCCGGCCAGGCUUACCCGCAACAGCCUCAGGGUCAUGGAGCACCACAGCCAUAUGGUGGAGGAUAUAAUAUGCAGACAUAUGCCAUGGGCCAGCAGUAUCCAGCUCAACCGGGCAUGGUCACAGUCCAGCCCACGGUGUACGUGACCCGAGGGCCUCUGGAGGUGGAGAAUCCAGUCAAUGACUACAUGGGCUACUCCAUCUUCACCUUGCUCUGCUGCUGCCUGCCGUUGGGCAUUGCUGCCCUCAUCUACUCCAUCUCAGCCCGUGAAGCCAACCACUCGGGUGAUCGAAUGGCAGCGGAGAGAAACAGCCGGACAGCUCGGACGCUGAACCACGUGGCUCUGGGACUUGGGCUUGGAUCCUUGGUCCUAUGCAUUGUUUACGUGGUGCUUAUUGUUUCUAAGUUGAAGAAUUAG
rnacentral:lncRNA from 1 species